ensembl:misc_RNA Y_RNA Y RNA
GGCUGGUCCAAGUGCAGUGGUGUUUACAACUAAUUGAUCACAACCAGUUACAUGUUUCUUGGUUCCUUCUCCACUCUCACUGCUUCAUCUAACUAGUCUAUA